UGCCAGACUCCUACGGGAGGCAGCAGUGAGGAAUAUUGGUCAAUGGGCGGAAGCCUGAACCAGCCAAGUCGCGUGAGGGAUUAAGGCCCUAUGGGUCGUAAACCUCUUUUGUCAGGGAGCAAUGGCGUCCACGUGUGGGCGUAUGGAGAGUACCUGAAGAAAAAGCAUCGGCUAACUCCGUGCCAGCAGCCGCGGUAAUACGGAGGAUGCGAGCGUUAUCCGGAUUUAUUGGGUUUAAAGGGUGCGUAGGCGGGACCUUAAGUCAGCGGUAAAAUUUCGGGGCUCAACCCCGUCGUGCCGUUGAAACUGGCGUUCUUGAGUGAGCGAGAAGUAUGCGGAAUGCGUGGUGUAGCGGUGAAAUGCAUAGAUAUCGCGCAGAACUCCGAUUGCGAAGGCAGCAUGCCGGCUCCACACUGACGCUGAGGCACGAAAGCGUGGGUAUCGAACAGGAUUAGAUACCCCCGUAAA
rnacentral:rRNA from 1 species